AAAGAAAAGAAAGAGGAAAAGAUGGAGAUGGGAUAAUCAUUCAGUGCAUUCUUUUUUUACUCUUCUUCUUCUCCACUGUCUAAGUUUUCUUCUCUCAUUUCUCAUCUCUUUUUGGUUUAUCAACUUCAGACUUGGGUUGAGGAAGAGUUUGAGAAGGAUUAUAAGCAACAGUUCUGCACUUUGGAGGUUGAAGAAGACAGGAAACACAAACUUAAGUCAUUUAUCUUCACAGAUUGAAUCCACACCGACAUCCUCUGGUUUUUUAGUCUGUUUGAACUGCUCAAGAGAAAAUAAAAGACUUAAAAGAAAUAGACUGAGUCUACACCAUGGAAUUAACAUAAGGUAGAGAUCGAGCUCCCGAUGCCUGAUAAACUACCUUAGUCUGCUGAAAGCUCUAAGAUCAUUAGCCAGUACAUGGGUGGAGUUGUACAUAGUCUAUUUUGUUAUGUGUUUAUUUGUCUUUGAAGGAUUUAGAUACUUUACAAUUUAUGUAAGCUCUGCGUGUUGUGAUUGUAUAAACUUUUGUUGGAUAUCCUUCUACUUAGGAUGUCUUAAUCAGGUUUAUUUGCUAAACCAACUGUUUCAGGGCUACAUUUCCAUGUAUGUCUAUGGGUUGUUUAGGUUC